UACGGGGGGAGCAAACGUUGUUCGGAAUCACUGGGCGUAAAGGGCGUGUAGGCGGCUGAAUAAGUGGGAUGUUAAAUCCCCCGGCUCAACCGGGGACCUGCAUCUCAUACUGUUCAGCUCGAGUACGGUAGGGGCAGAGGGAAUUUCCGGUGGAGCGGUGAAAUGCGUAGAGAUCGGAAAGAACACCAACGGCGAAAGCACUCUGCUGGGCCGACACUGACACUGAGAGACGAAAGCUAGGGGAGCGAAUGGG
rnacentral:rRNA from 1 species